GAUGAACGCUGGCGGCGUGCCUAAUACAUGCAAGUCGAGCGAACGGACGAGAAGCUUGCUUCUCUGAUGUUAGCGGCGGACGGGUGAGUAACACGUGGAUAACCUACCUAUAAGACUGGGAUAACUUCGGGAAACCGGAGCUAAUACCGGAUAAUAUUUUGAACCGCAUGGUUCAAAAGUGAAAGACGGUCUUGCUGUCACUUAUAGAUGGAUCCGCGCUGCAUUAGCUAGUUGGUAAGGUAACGGCUUACCAAGGCAACGAUGCAUAGCCGACCUGAGAGGGCGAUCGGCCACACUGGAACUGAGACACGGUCCAGACUCCUACGGGAGGCAGCAGUAGGGAAUCUUCCGCGAUGGGCGAAAGCCUGACGGAGCAACGCCGCGUGAGUGAUGAAGGUCUUCGGAUCGUAAAACUCUGUUAUUAGGGAAGAACAUAUGUGUAAGUAACUGUGCACAUCUUGACGGUACCUAAUCAGAAAGCCACGGCUAACUACGUG
rnacentral:rRNA from 1 species